UUCAAAGAAGGUGAGGAAGGAGAAAUGAGAAAAGGAAUCAAAGGAUGGUGGAUUUGACCAAAAAGAUAUGGCUCGAUCGAGUUGUCUAUUUAAUGGUAAUCCACAAUGUCGGGAAGACAAUGCUUUUAAUCCACAAUAGUAGACAAUGGAUCUUCAAUUUAUUACAUAUCCUCUCUUAAUAUAUCCACCAUCCAUUUCUCCUUUAUGAGUACCCUCUCUCUCUCUCUCUUCUUCUUCUUUCUAACACAAACACCUUCAUCAUCAUCACAGCUUUUGACCCUAGAUAAAACAUUACGAGACACUCGUCACUUUUAGAC